AAGUCUAAAACGACUCUCGGCAACGGAUAUCUCGGCUCUCGCAUCGAUGAAGAACGUAGCGAAAUGCGAUACUUGGUGUGAAUUGCAGAAUCCCGUGAACCAUCGAGUCUUUGAACGCAAGUUGCGCCCCAAGCCUUUUGGCCGAGGGCACGUCUGCCUGGGUGUCACA
rnacentral:rRNA from 1 species